rnacentral:rRNA from 1 species
UACGUAGGGACCAAGCGUUGUUCGGAUUUACUGGGCGUAAAGGGCGCGUAGGCGGCAAUUCAAGUCAUCUGUGAAAUCUCCGGGCUUAACCCGGAACGGUCAGGUGAUACUGUUUUGCUAGAGUGCGGAAGGGGCAAUCGGAAUUUUCGGUGUAGCGGUGAAAUGCGUAGAUAUCGAGAGGAACACCAGAGGUGAAGACGGGUUGCUGGGCCGACACUGACGCUGACAGCGCGAAAGCCAGGGGAGCAAACGGG